GCCAGGCGCUGUGGCACACAUCUGUAAUCCCAGCAUCUUGGGAGGCUGAGGCAGGAGGAUCACAAGUUCAAAUCCAGCCUCAGCAAAAGUUAGGCGCUAAGGAACUCAGUGAGACCCUGUCUCUA
rnacentral:sRNA from 1 species